ensembl:lncRNA
CCUAGUCUAGGGCUUGAACUGGCUCACCUGGUUCACCUAGUCUAGGGCUUGAACUGGCUCACCUGGUUCACCUAGUCUAGGGCUUGAACUGGCUCGCCCGGUUCACCUAGUCAAGGGCUUGAACUGGCUCGCCUGGUUCACCUAGUCAAGGGCUUGAACUGGCUCGCCUGGUUCACCUAGUCAAGGUCUUGAACUGGCUCGCCUGGUUCACCUAGUCAAGGGCUUGAACUGGCUCACCCGGUUCACCUAGUCAAGGGCUUGAACUGGCUCACCCGGUUCACCUAGUCAAGGGCUUGAACUGGCUCUCCUGGUUCACCUAGUCAAGGGCUUGAUAAUUAGUUGAUAUGAGAGAGGGGAGAUUAGGGUGAGAAUGAAUGGAUUCUAUUUGACUCCCUCUCCAAUACAUUUACUGCCAGAGAGACUGUUGGAGUAAGAGAUUCAUCAUGAUUCAUCUUGUCAAGGGCUUGAUGAUUGGUUGACUAAUGUAAUCAGGUGUUCUAGCUCUAGAGUAGAUGAAAUCCAUUCGUCUGCGGGUCCCCCAGGAGAGGUCUGAACUCCUGUUUUGGGGGAAUAGAUUUGUAUCUCUUGGUGGCAUUUCUUGACAGAUGGCGUCUUUUCAUGUAUCUAUUCUAGUGUUUAGGUAUCAUGGGUUGUUUUCAUGUAUCUAUUCUAGGGGUUUAGGUAUCAUGGGUUGGUUUCAUGUAUCUAUUCUAGGGGUUUAGGUAUCAUGGGUUGGUUUCAUGUAUCUAUUCUAGGGGUUUAGGUAUCAUGGGUUGGUUUCAUGUAUCUAUUCUAGGGGUUUAGGUAUCAUGGGUUGGUUUCAUGUAUCUAUUCUAGGGGUUUAGGUAUCAUGGGUUGGUUUCAUGUAUCUAUUCUAGGGGUUUAGGUAUCAUGGGUUGGUUUCAUGGUUUUGGAUUCUGAUCAAAUCAAUAGGAAGUAUUGCCACUGAUCAAUACCCAUAGUGUGAUAAUACCCAUAGUGUGAUAAUACCAGUAGUCAUUGGUUUAGAAGAGAAACAACGCUAUUGGAAUGUAUAGAAAUAUAAUCUAUAGAACGGACCUUCCCAUUCAAGUCAAUGCUGAUUCCAUUGCUAUGCUUGAAUGGUCUUUACUUUUCCAGGAUGCCUACAGUAACAGGGUGGAGGGAAGUGUGAGUGAGAGGUGUGUGUUUCCGCUAGUGUGAAUGACUUAGCUAACUAGGUGAACUUUUUUGUACAGAAAUGGUUUGGAACUAAUGACUUGCUGUAGGAUCUGGGCUAUGUAUGGUGUAACUGUUGGAUUGGGUACUAUGUAUGGUGUAACUGUUGGAUUGGGUACUAUGUAUGGUGUAACUGUUGGAUUGGGUACUAUGUAUGGUGUAACUGUUGGAUUGGGUACUAUGUAUGGUGUAACUGUUGGAUUGGGUACUAUGUGUGGUGUAACUGUUGGAUUGGGUACUAUGUGUGGUGUAACUGUUGGAUUGGGUACUAUGUGCGGUGUAACUGUUGGAUUGGGUACUAUGUAUGGUGUAACUGUUGGAUUGGGUACUAUGUACGGUGUAACUGUUGGAUUGGGUACUAUGUGUGGUGUAACUGUUGGAUUGGGUACUAUGUGCGGUGUAACUGUUGGAUUGGGUACUAUGUGCGGUGUAACUGUUGGAUUGGGUACUAUGUACGGUGUAACUGUUGGAUUGGGUACUAUGUGUGGUGUAACUGUUGGAUUGGGUACUAUGUGUGGUGUAACUGUUGGAUUGGGUACUAUCAUGAGAUAGGAUGUUAGCACAGUAACCAUGGGAGAUAUAGGAUUUCAUGUUAAACCCAUAGUACUCCUCUUUACUCAGUAUUAUACCCAACAUGUAUCGUUGCCACCUGUUGUUGAUGCAGUAAGUGAGAACUAUCCAGAAACUCAUAUAAAGCUGUUUAAUUGAGCAAAAGAAUAUCAACUUUGGCUUUGUAAUUAUUUAUGCAUUUAAAUGGAAGAUCACUCACCUCAAUAUAGGGACCAUUAUUUCUCCUUCACAACAGGAGCUAGUUUUAUGUUUAAAUCAUGUAGUUUUAUAUUCAAGGAAUACCUUUAAGAAAACGUUAACCCUGGACAGAAUCUUCUAAAACUACAACCAGACUUAGUGUGCUAUACAUUUGUCAUGUGUGUGUUAUAUUUCUGAACAGUGUUCUAUACACAAUGUAUUUUCUACGUGAAUAACUUUCCGAGGUAAAUAAAGUAUGUUUUCUUCCAGAUAAACGGAUCCCUGUUUGUCUCUGUAGAUGUAAUGAAGGUGUUAUGACUGUGUGAUCUGGUAUGAAGACGUCUCCUGGCUGGAGACGCGCCGGGGCCUCUUCGCUCCCUGUGUCUGUGUGGUGCAGCCUGUGUCUGUGUGGUGCAGCCUGUGUCUGUGUGGUGCAGCCUGUGUCUGUGUGGUGCAGCCUGUGUCUGUGUGGUGCAGCCUGUGUCUGUGUGGUGCAGCCUGUGUCUGUGCAGCCUGUGUCUAUGUGAUGCAGCCUGUGUCUGUGUGGUGCAGCCUGUGUCUGUGUGGUGCAGCCUGUGUCUGUGCAGCCUGUGUCUGUGUGGUGCAGCCUGUGUCUGUAUGCUGAUGACUCAACACUAUAUACACGUCAGCUACUACAGCAGCGCUCAGCAAAGAGCUGCACUAAGUUUCACAAUGGGGCGGCAAGAAAUAAGUUAGUCCUAAAUGAUUUAGAAAACUAAAAGCGUUGUAUUUGGGACAAAUCAUUCACUAAACCCUAAAUUGAGCAAGUUGGGGAGACUAAACCGCUUGGAGUAACCCUGUAUUGUAAACUGUCAUGGUCAAAACAUAUAGUUUUGUCCGGUCGGGUGCACGUAGUCAUAAUGAGCAUUACAGUUGUCCCAGAAUGGGGGGGGGAGGGGGGAGGGGGUGGCAGCAUGGCACGGCUGGCUCUUAAAUGUACACCGAGAGCCAACAUUAAUACUACGCAUGUCAAUCUCUCACGGUUCAAAGUGGAGGAGAGAUUGACUUCAUCAAUACUUGUAUUUGUGAAAAGUAUUGUUGAAUGCAGCAAGCU